AUUGAACGCUGGCGGAAUGCUUUACACAUGCAAGUCGAACGGCAGCACGGACUUCGGUCUGGUGGCGAGUGGCGAACGGGUGAGUAAUGUAGCGGAACGUGCCCAGGCGUGGGGGAUAACGUAGUGAAAAUUACGCUAAUAGCACAUACGAUCUAGGGAUGAAAGCGGGGGAUCGCAAGACCUCGCGCGAUUGGAGCGGCCGAUAUCAGAUUAGGUAGUUGGUGGGGUAAAGGCCCACAAAGCCAACGAUCUGUAGCUGGUCUGAGCGGACGACCAGCCACACUGGAACUGAGACACGGGCCAGACUCCUACGGGAUUGAGCAGUGGGGAAUUUUGGACAAUGGGCGACAGCCUGAUCCAGCCAUUCCGCGUGCAGGAUGAAGGCCCUCGGGUUGUAAACUGCUUUUGUACAUAACGAAAAGGUUUCUACUAAUACUAGGAGCUCAUGACGGUACUGUAAGAAUAAGCACCGGCUAACUACGUGCCAGCAGCCGCCGCGG
rnacentral:rRNA from 1 species